rnacentral:rRNA from 1 species
CAAUAAGUUAAGUAAGGGCGUAUGGCGGAUGCCUAGGCUCUCAGAGACGACGAAGGACGUGAUAAGCUGCGAAAAGCUACGGGGAGGGGCACAUACCUUAUAAUCCGUAGAUCUCCGAAUGGGGCAACCCGGCACAGUGAAGCUGUGUCACCAUGUAAAUGGGGUAAACCCGGUGAACUGAAACAUCUAAGUAACCGGAGGAAGAGAAAACAAUAGUGAUUCCGUUAGUAGUGGCGAGCGAACGCGGAUUAGCCCAAACCAGUGUUGUUACGGCAAUACUGGGGUUGUAGGACCACAAUAUUUGAUGCUAAUUGAAUUAGAACUGUUUGGAAAGACAGACCGAAGAGGGUGAUAGUCCCGUAUAAGUAAGAUUAGUUAUUGAUAGUGGUAUCCUGAGUAGUGCGGGACACGAGUAAUCCUGUAUGAAUCCACCGGGACCAUCCGGUAAGGCUAAAUACUCCUGAGAGACCGAUAGUGAACUAGUACCGUGAGGGAAAGGUGAAAAGAACCCUAAGUAAGGGAGUGAAAGAGAUCCUGAAACCGUACGCCUACAAGCGGUCGGAGCCACGCCUUGGUGUGGUGACGGCGUGCCUUUUGCAUAAUGAGCCUACGAGUUACUGUUUCUAGCAAGGUUAAGUAUUUAAGAUACGGAGCCGUAGCGAAAGCGAGUCUGAAUAGGGCGCUUUAGUUAGUAGUAGUAGACGCGAAACCGAGUGAUCUACCCAUGGGCAGGUUGAAGCUGUAGUAACAUACAGUGGAGGACCGAACCAGUUGACGUUGAAAAGUCUUUGGAUGACCUGUGGGUAGGGGUGAAAGGCCAAUCAAACUCGGAAAUAGCUCGUACUCCCCGAAAUGCAUUUAGGUGCAGCGUUGAGUAAAAGUUUUAUAGAGGUAGAGCUACUGAUUGGAUGCGGGGGCUUCACCGCCUACCAAUUCCUGACAAACUCCGAAUGCUAUAAAAUGUUUCUCAGCAGUGAGGGCAUGGGUGCUAAGGUCCAUGUCCGAGAGGGAAAGAACCCAGACCAUCAGCUAAGGUCCCCAAAUAUAUGUUAAGUUGAAAAAACGAGGUUUGUCUGCCCAGACAGCUAGGAUGUUGGCUUGGAAGCAGCCAUUCAUUUAAAGAGUGCGUAACAGCUCACUAGUCGAGCGGACGAGCAUGGAUAAUAAUCGGGCAUAAACAUAUUACCGAAGCUA